UCUCGGUCACUCAUUUUCUGCCAAAUAGCUGCAGCCAGACCUAACUGCUACUCUAGCGUGAUAGUCCUACUGGAUAGCAACUAGGUAGAGCGGGUCACGUCAGCAUCCGUCGUAACGUUGCUGCUGUAGAACUUGAAAACUGAUCGCACCUAUUCUCGCUCACAGAGUAUCAUAUCUCGGUCAGUGCUUGCCAUCUCGUUUCUACGACUCCGUUUGAGACGCAAGUCAUCUCUGUCGAUAGGCUCAUUAUAUGACUUCCUUUCGCCAAAUUGUUGGUUUUGGCUUGUCAAGCUCUACUCUCGCAGACAACGAAGAAGACGGAUGACUGACGGGACAUAAUCUCUGUCACCUGAUCUCGAGUGAUUUUCUCUCUUCAGACGCACAUCUGAGGCGUUCUUUUUGGCUAAUGUUAUAGUCAUCACCGCUGGCUACUAGACCUACGGGGUGAUGUUAGUGCUCAUCGUACUGUUGCUACGGCCAAACGUGAAAUGUGAGAGACAAUAGUUUGGACAUCCGGGAUCUUAUCUUUGUCAGUCGCUUUCAUCGCGUUUCUACAAGACGAAUAGAGACGUUAGUCAUGUCUGUUGAAAGGGCGGUGAGAAAGGUGAUGGACAUACGGGACAUAAUCUCUGUCACAGUAUGAGCGCACUUGUUGGGUUCUAGAGCUUUCAGAGUCAGCCUUUGUGGCGAAGGGAGUCGAAUCUGAAAUACCAAACUCCCUCAAUUAGGUGCUUUCCUAAUGGUCAAGGUCCACACAGAUAGUCAUUGCUGUCUCGUUACUGGCCAUAGCAUCAUCCUACAUGCUAGAAGAAGGAGAGAAAGAGAGUCCUCCAAGAGAGACUAUUAUUAUUCUUCAUGUGACCGACGUGGAGAUGAAGCCUAAGUGAAAGGAAUUGUUGUACAUUUUAGUGACAAGUGAGAGACAGUGUGGUACUAGCUGGAACUGUUGCAGUAAUGUCAUCAAACUAACGAGACGUGCAGGCUCUUUUAUGUUAGAAAUACGUCAUGAUCACAUGUUUUACAACACAAACAUGUACAUCUACCAC